rnacentral:lncRNA from 1 species
CACAAGUUGAAGUACGUGUGGACGUGUGGCCCACAGAAUUGUGUUGAUGCUUUUAAUUUAUUGUGUCUACUAUGAAAAACAAAGCCCAACUCAAUAGCAAAGAAGGCCGAGUCAGGGAGGGUAGAGCAGAGGCUUCCAGGCUGACCUGGCCCAUGGUCACUGAGGCCCUGCCCAGAAGCAGGGCCCUGUGCGCACUGAGCCUGUGAGGACCUGGCCGGCUGAACGCGCUGUGGGAGCCCUGGAGGGACGGGGUUCAGGCGGCAUGGGCUGCAUCCUGGGGCAGCGUGAAGUCGCCCCGUUUGCCCACUGUUUGGGAAGCCUUUAUGGGAAAAUGACAGAAUAAUGCGCACGUGGCCUUCAGGAGCCCGAGCUCAGCAAGCUCAGCAGACCCUCCGCAGGUGCUGCUGGGGACAGGAAACGGUGGAGACACCAUGGCCCGCGUGCCUCAUCUGUCAGGCGCUCUUGGCUUCACAGCAGACAGGAGACCCUCUAAGCAGACAGAAGACGACGAGGCCCCCGUGGAGGGCGCUCUUGAGCAGCAGCAGGAGGCCAGUAUGAAGGCAAUGCCCAGAACUCCUACCUGUAAGGAUGGCAGUGCCGAAGCUAGAAGAGAUAAAGACUCCAUGAGGGCUUGGAUCAAUGCCUGGGCCCUGUGAUUUGAAAUGGAAUAGCAUCCUCAUUCCAGAAAGAGAAGGCUGCCUUCAAGGUGAGACAAACCUCCAAGUCCAGCACACAGCACUCAACAUGCCACAUGGUAGAUGGCAUCCAAGGGACAGAGAUUUUUCCCUGAAGAAGGAGAAUAUGGGAUUUCCCACGGACCCCUGAAAAAAAAAAGAACCAGUUCCUUUCGGAUUACCCAGAUCUUAAUUUACUACUUGAAAUCACUCUCUGUGAUUUGUUGGUUAUAGAUUGUCUAAAAUUAGGUCUCAAAGUUAAAUAUGAGGGUUGUCUUCAAGAUAUUUUAUGGGUUAUCCUGAAACCAGUGCCUGAUUUCUUUUUGGGUUUUGCUUGGGGUUUUACAAAAUUUCUUUUUCUUUAUUUAAUUGGUGUAUGUUUGUUUGCUUGUUUUUUUAACCUUAGUUUUCCCAUUUUUCUGGCAUAUUUUUUAAGUGCACUGCAUACUAUUAUCACUUGCCAGGCAUGGUGUAUAGUUUUACAUAGUUAUUGUUUUGCAUAUGUAUUGCUUCUUUAUUCCCUUCCCUCCUGGGUGCCCACUGUACUGUCUUUGACACAUGUCCUUAGAGCCUCUGCCUCUGCGAAUGAACUCAGUGUGAUGGGUGAAUAAUACAUUUGUAAUCCCUGUCUACAGCGUACAUUUCUGCCUGUUCAUGUCUGGAUUCCUGUCAGCGCUUUGCUCCACAGCUGGCAGUCACUACAUCCUCUUCUUCCAAAGCCUGGUGUGCUCAUAGGUGUUUUUUUUUUUUUGUACCAGGGAUUGAACUCGGGUUCUUGCAGUUGUGGAUCAGGCAGCAGAACCACUGAGCUAAAUCCCCGGCCCUAGGUGGGGUUUUUGAAAGGUGAUUGGACCAUGGCACACUGUUACUAACCGUGCCGCGAGGGAAUGAGGGCCUGGAUGGAAGAGGUGGUCAUAGAGCUGUGACCUUGGAGAAUGUGUCUCCCUCCCUGAGCCUCCCCUUCUUCCUUUGCUUCCUGGGCACCAUGAGGUGAGCAGCUUUCCUCCACAGCAGACCCUUCCACUAGGCCCUUCUCCAUUACAGCCAGAUGUCUGUGAACUGAGAACUCUAAAGUCAGUGAGCCCAAAACAUCCUCUCCUCUUAAGGUUGUAGGUGUUGGGUACUUUGUCCCAGCAACAAGAAAAGUGACUAAGAAUGAGUACUUUGCUGUCACCAGCAGAGCUGUGACAGACACCUCACGAGGUUCCUUACAACCAGUGUAAGCCUUUCCCUGGGAAUGUAAGGCUAGGAUUGAUGGUUGGGGGACACACACACACACACACACACACACACAUACACACACUCCUUUUCACUAUGUGCUGCCAGUGCUAUGAUAUUAUCUGGAAUUUUAACUUUUGCCAACUAGAUGGCUGUCAAGCAAGAUCUCACUGUUUUAAUAGGCAGUGAUAUGAUUAUGAGGAAGCUGAGGGUCAUUUUUAAUGGCUAGUCUGUUUUGCAGCAUUUCCUUCAGCUUCCUGCCUAUUUGAGUUCUUUAUAUACAGCUCUGGGUAGCAGAGCUGGAGUUCCAGCCAGUUGGCCUGGGAUAUACAUAGCCUGGCACUGCCAUUCAUGCAACCCAAGCAAGUUGCUUUCCAUCGUGGUCCCCUAGCUUCCUCAACUGUAAUAAGUAAAAACAGUUAAGUUCCUUAUAUGUUUGUGAAGAUUAAGUGAAUUAAAACCUAUAGAAUACUUAAAGGGCCAGACAAGUUAUAAAUAUGCAACAAAUAUUAUUAAAUUCACCAUUCCUAUUGGUUUAUUAAUAUUAUAUAUAAAUUAAUGUUAAUAUAUACUAUAAAUGUAAUUGUGG